GGAGAGGUACCGAAGCGGUUAUAACGGCACCGACUCGAAAUCGGUUGGUCCUUUUAACAGGGCACGCGGGUUCGAAUCCCGCCCUCUCCGCCA
rnacentral:tRNA from 1 species